UACGGGGGGGGCAAGCGUUGUUCGGAAUUACUGGGCGUAAAGGGCUCGUAGGCGGCCAACUAAGUCAGACGUGAAAUCUCUAGGCUCAACCUAGGAACUGCGUCUGAUACUGGAUGGCUUGAAUCCGGGAGAGGGAUGCAGAAUUCCAGGUGUAGCGGUGAAAUGCGUAGAUAUCUGGAGGAAUACCGGUGGCGAAGGCGGCAUCCUGGACCGGCAUUGACGCUGAGGAGCGAAAGCCAGGGGAGCAAACGGG
rnacentral:rRNA from 1 species